GGAUUAGAUACCCUGGUAGUCCACGCCCUAAACGAUGUGCGCUAGAUGUCGGGGGACUUGUCCUUCGGUGUCGGAGCUAACGUGUUAAGCGCACCGCCUGGGGAGUACGGCCGCAAGGUUAAAACUCAAAGGAAUUGACGGGGGCCCGCACAAGCGGUGGAGCAUGUGGUUUAAUUCGACGCAACGCGCAGAACCUUACCAGCCCUUGACAUGUUGGUUAAAGCCGGGCGAGAGCCUGGUGUUCCUUCGGGAGGCCAUCACAGGUGCUGCAUGGCUGUCGUCAGCUCGUGCCG
rnacentral:rRNA from 1 species